UGGGGAAUAUUGCACAAUGGGCGCAAGCCUGAUGCAGCGACGCCGCGUGAGGGAUGACGGCCUUCGGGUUGUAAACCUCUUUCAGCAGGGACGAAGCGCAAGUGACGGUACCUGCAGAAGAAGCACCGGCCAACUACGUGCCAGCAGCCGCGGUAAUACGUAGGGUGCGAGCGUUGUCCGGAAUUACUGGGCGUAAAGAGCUCGUAGGUGGUUUGUCGCGUUGUUCGUGAAAACUCACAGCUCGACUGUGGGCGUGCGGGCGAUACGGGCAGACUGGAGUACUGCAGGGGAGACUGGAAUUCCUGGUGUAGCGGUGGAAUGCGCAGAUAUCAGGAGGAACACCGGUGGCGAAGGCGGGUCUCUGGGCAGUAACUGACGCUGAGGAGCGAAAGCGUGGGGAGCGAACAGG
rnacentral:rRNA from 1 species